CAGCAGCCGCGGUAAUACGUAGGUGGCAAGCGUUGUCCGGAAUUAUUGGGCGUAAAAGGCUCGCAGGCGGUUUCUUAAGUCUGAUGUGAAAGCCCCCGGCUCAACCGGGGAGGGUCAUUGGAAACUGGGAAACUUGAGUGCAGAAGAGGAGAGUGGAAUUCCACGUGUAGCGGUGAGAUGCGUAGAGAUGUGGAGGAACACCAGUGGCGAAGGCGACUCUCUGGUCUGUGACUGACGCUGAGGAGCGAAAGCGUGGGGAGCGAACAGGAUUAGAUACCCCCGUAGUCCCUGUCUCUUAUAC
rnacentral:rRNA from 1 species